rnacentral:rRNA from 1 species
AUUGAACGCUGGCGGCAGGCCUAACACAUGCAAGUCGAGCGGAUGAGGGAAGCUUGCUUCCCGAUUUAGCGGCGGACGGGUGAGUAAUGCCUAGGAAUCUGCCUAUUAGUGGGGAAUAACGUUCCGAAAGGAACGCUAAUACCGCAUACGUCCUACGGGAGAAAGUGGGGGAUCUUCGGACCUCACGCUAAUAGAUGAGCCUAGGUCGGAUUAGCUAGUUGGUGAGGUAACGGCUCACCAAGGCGACGAUCCGUAGCUGGUCUGAGAGGAUGAUCAGCCACACUGGAACUGAGACACGGUCCAGACUCCUACGGGAGGCAGCAGUGGGGAAUAUUGGACAAUGGGCGAAAGCCUGAUCCAGCCAUGCCGCGUGUGAGAAGAAGGUCUUCGGAUUGUAAAGCACUUUAAGUUGGGAGGAAGAGUUGUAAGCUAAUAUCUUGCAGCUUUGACGUUACCAACAGAAUAAGCACCGGCUAACUCUGUGCCAGCCGCCGCCGUAAUAC